CCCAUGGACUGUAGUCCUACCAGGCUCUUUUGUCCAUGGGAAUCUCCAGGCAAGUGUAUUGGAGUGGGUUGCCAUUUCCUUAGUUCAUGUUAAUAUUAUCCAUUGCUUUCAUUCACUGUUAACUGAAAACCAUUUAUAAAAUAAGAUUGCAAUUAAUCAAAGUAUUAUUUCUGUGUCUGUGCAGACUUUCUCCAGGAAAAAUGAAAGGAAAAAUAUUCAGGAUCCACAAAAAAAAAAAAAGAAAACCUUAGCAUUUUGUUCUUUCUAUGUUUAUGGAAAACAUGUAUUAAAAUACCUUAAAAACAUGCAAGAGGCAAACAAAAAUGCUAAGUUUUUUUUUUCUCUUUACAUUUUAUUUACAGCACUUCAACUUUAAAUUAAAAAUUUCCUCCACUGUGCUAACAAAUUAGCAAGUUUGAAAAUACUGUUAGUAAACAAAUAGCAAAAACAAAACAAAAAACAAUGAAAAUCACAGAAAAAAUUCUCUAAAGAUAAAGAUGGUAUAAGAUACAUCAAGCUAUGGAUUCUGACUUAUAAUCUGCGUUCACUCACAGCUGACUCGGUGUUGCUUCAAAGGUCAACGUGCGAUGGCUUUAUCAUGAUUUCAGUGAGUAGCUAAAAGUGAAUUAACAGGGCUUGCCUGGUGGUCCAGCAGUUAAGAAUCUCCGUUGCAAUGCAGGAGACACAGGUUCCAUUCCUGGUCUGGGAAGACCCCACAGGCCUUGGGGAAACUAAGCCCGUGUUCCACAACUACUGAGCCUGAGGUCUAGAACCCAGGAGCCACAAGAGAUGCCAUCGCAAUGAGAAGUCCGUGUACCCCAAUUAGGAAGUAACCCCUGCUCGCCACCACUCGAGAAAGCCUGCACGCAGCAAUGAAGACCCACCACGGCCAAAAAGAAAUAAAAGUUACUUUUUUUUUAAGUUAAAAAAAUAAUCAAAGACUGCUAGACAUAUUGUGACCCCUUAAUUUUCAGCAAAAGCCAUGGACCUUCCAGUGACAUGAGCAUUUCCAUCAGAAAAAAUCUGCUUCUUCUUCUCCCUGCCCGACGUGAGCACAAAACCUUAAUGCAAGCGUACACUUCUCAUUCAAAAUCAGAAGCGAAUGGGGACUUGUCCUAAGUCAUGUUGCCUUGCCACCUGUUUGGUUCAUCGUGGUGCCUUUGUGGAUUCGGCAACAGGAUUAGAAGACAAAAACAAAAAAACUUUGAAACCCCAAUGAAAAAUUUAAAAGGGAAGACUUGACACUUCCCUUGGUAGUCCAAUGGUGAAGACUUCAUCUUCCAAGGCAGGGGAUGGGGAUUUGAUCCCUGGUGGGGGGCGGGGUCUACGAUCCCACGUGCCUGGUGACCAAAAACCAGAAAUAUAAGCAACGGAGGUGAUGUGGUAACAAAUUCAAUUGAAGACGUUAAAAAUGGCCCACGUCAAAAAAAAAUCUUUAAAAGAAUAAAAUUUAAAAUAAAAAAGAGAGAACACUCGUGAAAAACGGAGGCUUCUGUCUGCAUCUUUUGAGUCUCAAAUGUCUUCACACCAGCUCUGGGGUUCUGAGUAGGUCACCAUCAUUUUUCCCCCUGACACCGAUGGUCUUACCCUGCACAGGUCAGCCACCGCCUCCUACGGCCCAUCAUCAAUUAGUCCUCCACGGUGCCUCGUCUUCAUAAAAUAAAUUUCACACAUCUCGCCCCACUCCAUGUCCUCCUGUUUUCCUGGCGUCUUUGUCUGCAAUCUCACAGUUCACGAUCACCCAACCCAAGCAGCACCUUCCAGCCGCUGACCCCCACCUCCUUUGAUGGUUCCUCGAACGCCAAUGUAUUCUUGCCGGGAGAAUCCCAGGGACGGGGAGCCUGGUGGGCUGCCGUCUAUGGGGUCGCACAGAGUCGGACACGACUGAAGUGACUUAGCAGCAGCGAACGCCAAUGUGAUCAGAACACGGAAACCCAGAUGGUGCUGUGGGGGGUUUCGCAGAAAGGCAGCUCCCAGAUUCCAGCCGAGGGUUCCCCCAGGCCGGCGAGCGUGUCUCCCCCUUGCUCUCUGCAUCUUUGCUUCCCACUCCCAGUCUCCCACGGGCGCCUGCGCGUAGCUCCUUGCAGUUCCGCUCGCGUGCGCAUGCC
ensembl:lncRNA